rnacentral:tRNA from 1 species
GGGACUGUAGCUCAGUAGUAGAGUGCUUUCCUGGCAUGUAUGAGGCACUGGGUUCAAUCCUCAGCACCA